rnacentral:rRNA from 1 species
AUUGAACGCUGGCGGCAGGCCUAACACAUGCAAGUCGAACGAGUGGCGGACGGGUGAGUAAUGUCUGGGAAACUGCCUGAUGGAGGGGGAUAACUACUGGAAACGGUAGCUAAUACCGCAUACCAUCAGAUGUGCCCAGAUGGGCUUAGCUUGUUGGUAGGGUAACGGCUCACCAAGGCGACGAUCCCUAGCUGGUCUGAGAGGAUGACCAGCCACACUGAAACUGAGACACGGUCCAGACUCCUAGGGGAGGCAUCAGUGGGAAAGUUUGCAGAAUGGGGGCAAGCCUAAUGCAGCAUAGGCGGGUGUAUGAAGAAGGCCUUCGGAGUAUAAAGUCAUUUCAACGGGGAGGCGUUACCCGCAGCAGACGCACCGGCUGACUCCGUGACAGCCGCCGCGGUAAUAC